rnacentral:rRNA from 1 species
GUGUCAGCCGCCGCGGUAAUACGUAGGGGGCAAGCGUUGUCCGGAUUUAUUGGGCGUAAAGGGUGCGUAGGCGGCCUUUUAAGUCAGAUGUGAAAGGUCACGGCUCAACCGUGGUAAGCAUUUGAAACUGGAAGGCUUGAGUUAAGGAGAGGAAAGUGGAAUUCCUAGUGUAGCGGUGAAAUGCGUAGAUAUUAGGAGGAAUACCAGUGGCGAAGGCGACUUUCUGGACUUAUACUGACGCUGAGGCACGAAAGCGUAGGGAGCGAACAGGAUUAGAUACCCUGGUAGUCCACGCCGUAAACGAUGAGUGCUAGGUGUUGGGGGUCAAACCUCGGUGCCGCAGCUAACGCAUUAAGCACUCCGCCUGGGGAGUACGUACGCAAGUAUGAAACUCAAAGGAAUUGACGGGGACCCGCACAAGCAGCGGAGCAUGUGGUUUAAUUCGAAGCAACGCGAAGAACCUUACCAGGGCUUGACAUCCCUCGGACCGGUCUAGAGAUAGAUCCUUCCCUUCGGGGACCGAGGUGACAGGUGGUGCAUGGUUGUCGUCAGCUCGUGUCGUGAGAUGUUGGGUUAAGUCCCGCAACGAGCGCAACCCUUGCCUUUAGUUGCUAACAGUAUGGCUGAGCACUCUAGAGGGACUGCCGAUGACAAAUCGGAGGAAGGUGGGGAUGACGUCAAAUCAUCAUGCCCUUUAUGUCCUGGGCUACACACGUGCUACAAUGGUCGGUACAACGAGUAGCUACUUAGCGAUAAGAUGCUAAUCUCUUAAAGCCGAUCCCAGUUCGGAUUGCAGGCUGCAACUCGCCUGCAUGAAGUCGGAGUUGCUAGUAAUCGCGAAUCAGAAUGUCGCGGUGAAUGCGUUCCCGGGUCUUGUACACACCGCCCGUCACACCAUGGGAGUUGGCAAUACCCGAAGCCAGUGAGCUAACCUUUUGGAGGCAGCUGUCGAAGGUAGGGUCAAUGACUGGGGUGAAGUCGUAACAAGGUAACC